rnacentral:lncRNA from 1 species
GUGCAGAUAGGUUUUUACGUCAUCUCAAUCGAAGAGGAAGCGGUCAAAGGAAGCUUGGCGAUGGGCUACAAUUUUGUGGCGUCUAACUCUUCGUUGGCCCGUUCGUAUCUCUCUAUCGUGCCGAAGUCAAAGAAGAAAAAAAUACUAUCUUGGACACGUGGCAAUCAAUGAUUUAAGAAAAAAUACAUAUGUGUAGAACAGAGACUUCGCCUUCGAG